GCAAAUGGACCCGAUCCUUUUCAAAAAUGCAGUUUCUUGGACUCGCGAGCAACCUUUCCCCACCUCUUUAUCAAACUCCAACCUAAACGUUUCUUCUCGGACUUUCUUCCUCACAGCUCGUUACGCGCAGUGCUUUCCACGGCUCGCAUGCACGCAUGCGGACGCAACGCGGCGGCGCCAUGCAGCGGCGUGGUGCGCAUCCGUGCACGCUGCGAAAGGACGAAUGAGCGUCAAUCGUUCGCGAUCGUCGGGUGGUGUCGCUGAAGCGUGAGAGUAAGAGAGAUAGAGAUAGAGAUAGAAAAAGGGGAGAAUGCGGGGGUCGACGACGAGUCGUGCCGAGCGCGCACGAUAAAUUUCGAAUGCGGUUCCUCGCUGCCACCUUCCUUCUCCCGCCUCCGCCACAGCCACAUCGACACGAACUUUCACGCGCAAGAGCAUGCUUCGCGCCACGCCGCAUCGUCGUCGUCGUCGUCGUCGUUGCGUCGUGGUCGUUGAUUCGGUAAAGAAGAGGACGACGCGUACGGAGUCCAAUAAUAGCUACACCGAUUCGACUCCAUCGGAUAGCGAGCGAGCGAACGAGCGCGCGCGUGUGCCCGUUCCGCUUGUGAGAAUAAGGUAUCACGAGAGAGCGAGAUGGCUCAUGGAACGAGAAACGGAGUACGAAGGAGAAAGAGAGGGAUAAGAGCGGAACACCGUUUGCGAGCGCCAAAUAUGGCGUGACGAGAAAAGCGAGGCUACUACCUCAGAAAACCACCACCGUGCGUGCACGAGAGAGAGAGAGAGAGAGAGAGAGAGAGAGAGAGAGAGAGAGAGAGAGAGAGGAAAAAAGCAAAGGAGUGCGAGUGAGAGAAAAAGAGAGAGGAAAAAAGCAAAAGAGAAAGAAAGAGAGAAAGAGAGAGACGGAAUUCAAUUUGAUCGAGCGCGCGGAGAAACGUAUGGCCGGUUUCAACGAACAAAACGAACCAAUGGGCGUGUCCGCCGUAGCGACGACACCCGCCCAUAUACCGUGUCGUUUCGCGUUCGUUCCCUUCGCGUUACUCCGUCCGAUAGCUGCCAUUACGUUCGGUGGUAUCGGAAAAACGACGAAAAAGAGACCGCGCGAACAGCCGCGACGGCUCGCCAUCGGGGAAAAAAAAAGAAAAAAAGAAAAAAAAAAGAAAAAUAAAAAAAGAAGAGAAAAAAAAAUAAAGAAAUGCGACAGAGUAGAAAACCGGAACGUUUUUUUCAUCAAUCUUGCCCUUCUUUCUCCCUAUCUCUCUCUCUCUCUCUCUCUCUUCUUUUUAUUCUUCAUCCUACUUCUUCGUCGCUUAGCGACUAUCGGAAGCACAAUGCUCUCAGAAGCAAGGCGGACACGUGGCGUCCAUGUUCAAAUUGCGCGGGUUACAUAAUGUUUCGAACGUUUAAUACAAGGAUCGAUGUAUUAUUAUUAUCAUCAUUAUCAUCAGGAACGAGGAAUCUCGAAUGUCUUGCGUUUCAUAAAAAUAAGGAACGAACGAACUCACCAGCCGGACGAAGGGGGCGGUAGAAUCCGGUUUGAACGGAUACUGAGCGGAUGCGCGCGGAGGGUAAAGACCAUGAAAGUAUUAUAAGAUAGAUAUUAUAAGCUUAUUUUCUGUUUUUUCCUUUUUUUUCUUCUUCUUUUCUUUUUUUUUUUUGCUUACCUACGAAUGGCUUCCCAGUAUAAUGAAUAUCACUCGCGUGAAACCUCGAUCGAUCUUCGAAAGCAUUGAGGGCAUGGCAAGAGCAUGGCGGAGCAAAAGAUCGACGAAAACGGUUAGCGUGGACAGCCUUUCGAAAGGAUAUAAACGCGUGUAAGUACGAGAGGUGAAUCUUUUCCGUAGAGAGACCGCACACGUCCGUUCAAGACUUCCUACCGUAUUUGGAAUGCCCGAUGAAUGCUUGCGAUGUUCACUGAGAAACUCACGAGAGAGAAAGAAGGAAUAUACCCCUAAUCGCACGAACUCAAAAACCGCACUGUCAGCCGGAAGCGUGGACACGAUCGAGGAGGAAAAGGACGAGGUAGGAGGGGAAGAGGGUUAGUGAGAAGAGUGGGGGGAGGGAGAGAGAGAGUGAGAGAGAAGUAAGACGAAGAGGAAGGAGAGAGUAAAGAAGUUAAGCAGAAGAUGGUAAUUCUGGGUGGUAGUGGUGGUGAUCGUAUGGUAAGGUGCUAGAGAAGGGAAAGGGGGGAAAGAACGCACGCGCGCGAGACCUAUACGUAUAAACGAGAUAAAAAGAAAGAGAGAGAGAGAGAGAGAGAGAGAGAGAGGCGAAGGACGGGGCAAAAGUUGGACGAGUACGAAGGUCGGUUUUCUUUCUUUCUUUCUUUCUUUCUUUUUUUCUUUCUUUCUUUCUUUCUCUCUCUCUCUCUCUCUCUCUCUCUCUCUCUCUCUCUCUCUCUCUCUCUCUCUCUCUCUCUCUCGAUGUAACAGCACUUACGUGACAAGAAGGAUCGUCAUGGAAAAAUAUCGACGAUGGUCUACUGGAUUCUCUCAAAUAAUAGAACAUGACAAAUUAUUGAAAAAUUUCAAGAGAACCGGUCGUAAAAUUAAAAAGAAUAAAGAAUGAUCUCUACGGUAAUAGGAGCAAAAACACGAUGUAAUAUAAGCGAGAAGUCGUCGCAUGGUAAUAUGAAAAAGCAGACCGGAUGAAAAUCACGCGCGAACACAACCAACCGGAUAAAAGAAACGAUGUGAACUGAACUGCGUGGAAACUACCGGGGGACUCUGGUCAAGUCGCCGUUGCUGCGCGCGUUGCCGUCACAAACAGCCAAUCAGACUUGCGAUAAGCCGAUAAGAUCGACGGUGGUGGGGAAAGCUAGUGGAGUGGGAAUACAGGCGCCCUGGUGCCGAAGAGCAACGCGCCACCGCGUUCCUUCGACUUGUUCGUAACGUGGAGGGAGUUCGUAAAGUUCAGUGAGGGGGGAUAACGUUCUCUUGCGACGACCGCAACGAGUAGGGCGAUCGCGAAAGAGAGAAAGAGACAGAACGUGGGCGCAACGUCGAGGACGAAACGGUGCAGGUGGCGAGAUCGGACAAUGACUGCGUCGUCCACGCGGCAUCACCGACGCAGUAAUUAAUCGGAAUAACUCCUCGCUUUACCGUUAAUUGUCUCUCUAUUACGGUUUAACAGUCGAUGGAGGGAAGACAAACCGUCUCGUAAAACGUAUUUCCGGUACGAUAUAUGUCAUCGAAGCUUACACACGUCCGAGAAAAAUUUCUUGGAUAGCGAUACUGAGAAGAGAAGACUACGCGAGAGCCUCGGCUCAUUUCGCAUUGAUCGCAUCGAACGCGAUACCAGACGUGUGUCGAUACCCCUCUCUCCCUCCAUCCUUUCUCGUUCACCGAUUUUUAGUGCCACCGCUCGAAAUUCUACAUGGCGAUUUUUUUAUAUGAUGUUUGAUAGAAAAAAGUUGACAAUCGUACCGAAGAGGUUAAACAGAAAAAGAUAAAUAUACCUUCGUAAAUAUGAUAUAAACGUGUAAUUUCUAAAAUAUGUAAUUAUACGUUUUAAUCACUGUUAUAAAAAAUGGUGAUAGAAGAAUUCAAAAAUGAUUUUCGCACCUAUGGUUAUGAUAUGUUAGAUAAGAAAAAUCAUAAGUAAAUGUGAAUCAGGAUUAUCAUCGUUCACUCACCAGAUGGCGUUUCGAAGUAAGAAAGUUUUCCAUUCUCUAAUUUUAUUUAAUCUAUGUCGUAUUCUCGCAUUACUGUAAAAUUACGUGAAACUAAAGAUCGUGCAUUUAAUAAAAGCUUUGAUAACUUAAGUAGAAUAAAUAUGUUAUUAGCGAAAGAUAUUACGUUAUAUGGAAAGAUCGAAGGAACGUGCUAUCAAAGUGAAAGAACGCAGGUGGUAAAGCAUAAAGUAAUACAUUCUAAGAUACUACUUUAUUGACUCUGAAUAUUGAAAAGGCACUUAAGUUAGACUAAAACUAUACCGUACACAGAAUGUCUUUGAGAAAAUGAUAUACUAGUCCAAUACAUUUAAGUCAAAAAGGGUUUAACGAAGAAGUAGCUCACUUUAAGAAAGAAAAAAAAGAAGUAGCGAUUAAACGAACUUAUUAAUCUUUGUAUUUAUUAAUUAAUAUUCAAUAUUUAUUUAUAAUAUAUAUAUAUAUAUGUUCACUUCAGAGAAUUCGUACAAAUAUAUAUUACUCUUGAUUCAUUAAUUUGUAUGUACAUUUAUUAAAUAAUGUAUACAUGCAUUCGAUAAAAAGUGCAUUAUGCGUGAAUGGCGUAUGUAAUUGGUUUGUACCGAACGCUUCAACCAAUCAGCUUCAAUUGCCACGUAGUUCUUAUUGAUACUCUGAUUCGUUCUUUUCAACGCAACAAUUACGUUAGUACUGUACGCUAUCAAUAAUCAGCCGAUGAGUCAACAAAUUUGUGGUAACAUAAUAUUUUAAAUACAUACAGUAUUUCGAUCGUGAUAAAUUCUAAAUUGAAACUAUCUUAUUCUAUUUUUUCAUGAUCUCAUUAUCAUAAAAUAAAAAUAACUGCUGACACUAUAUAAUCGAAAUGAGAUUAAUUAAAAGGAACAUCGUAGUGAGAUUAUGAUAUGACCUUUUCAUAUCUGUUUCGAGCAAUAAGUUAAUAUUACAUGCUAACAAGAAAAUGCACAAGAUAAUAAUAAUAUGUAGCUACUACUACAUGAAAUGAAAUUUCUUUCUGUUCUCCGUUGCUAUCGUUUACACAACCAACGUGUUUAUAACCAACGUUGGUAGUAAUCUUAUCAUUGAGUACGACCCUGUCGACCCUAUGUUUUCUCGUGUCCUAUAUUCCAAAUAUUGUAACUUGCAUUAUCGAUAAAUACGGAAUAAUCUCUGAAAAAAUUUCGAAAUGGCAGAAAUAGAAAAUUCGAUAUUUGAAACUUAAAAACAUAUAGAAUUAUUCAAAGAUUAUUAUAUCAUUUAAACAAAAUUCUUUAUAUAAGUAUAAAGAUCAGGAUAUGGAUAAAAUAAUAAAUUUUAGAUUAAUAUCUCACAAUUCAUUACUUAUAUUUUUUAAGUUAAUUAUACUAAUGAAAAAGUUUACUCAUCUACCUAUGAGAGGGCGUAGGUCCCUUCGGAGUAGGUAAAAGAGGAGGUUCUUAUCGCGGUGCGUGAAAUUUUGUAUAUCAACUGUUAGACAUGAUUUUUGGAAAAAAAAAAAGAAACAAGAAUUGAUUACUUAGAAAUACAUGAUAUUCAAACGGAGUAAAAAAACAAGAAAAUAAAAAGAAUUAUAUAAAAAAGAAGAAUGUUAUAUGAUUAAAUAUGAAUAUCUUUGAAUUCGAAAAGCAUAUUAUUUCACUUGCAAAUUCAUCUUUCUUGAAUAUAUAGAAGGAUAGAAUUCAUGAAUGUCGAGUUGCGUUCGACUUUAAUGAAUAUUUAAUUAGUCUACAUCAUAUGUUCUAUCACGUUUCAUAACAUAUGACAUUAUAUCAAUACACAUUUUUUUCCUUUUUUUUUAUAUUCUUUAUCGUGAUUUUAAAUUUUCUAAAAAUCGAAAAAAUCCCAUCAGCUUAUAUCAGAAAUCGUUUUCUUAACUGUUGAUUCAAACUAUUCUUGAUUUUUUCUCGAGAUCGCAAUAAAAGAAUAUCAAGCACGUUCUGUAUUUAGAAUAAGCUAUUAAUAGUAUUAGAACGGUUUUGCUUAUUAGAAAAUCUGUCGGUACGUAUACACGCGUGCUCCGACAAAAUAGGUUACGGUCGUGCAAUCUGGAAGUAAUUUUUCACGUUCCAUUAUCUAUGUAUUGUGAAAUAAUUGUGUAAGUGCAUUGAUAGAAAGAAUAUUCAACAUGAAAAAAAAAAAAAAAAAAAAAAGAAGAAGGAAGUGAGGUCAACAUCGAAGAAAUCAAACAAUCGAACGAUUCGUAAAGUUCAAAUGAUAAUAAGAUCGAGAAAAUUAAAGUAUUUCCGGAAGCAAUAGAAGAAAACUACAUAGAGUUAUCUUCAGAAGUACGACUCAUGGAAAGAGGACGAAUUUACGUAGUAUAUUAGUAGGCCACGACGAAAAUAUCGGAGAGUUGGAAAAGAGAGGAAGAGAGAGAAAAAGAAGAAGAAGGAAAAAGAAAAAGAAAGAGAGAGAGAGAGAGAGAGAGAGAGAGAGAGAGAGAGAGAGAGAGAGAGAGAGAGAGAGAGAGAGAAAUAAAAGAGACUAGUAAUAGCCACCAUCUCUAAACGACAUUGACCGCGCCCGAAUCCAUGCAAGCCGUUCCCCGUUCUCUUUAUCCUUCGCGGUGGUCGUUAAGGUCGCAUUUAGAGAAGUACUUUACGGACGCAUUUAGGUGCGGCUCACCAUACAUCGUCGUACCCCCGUCUCAUGGUUCGCUUUUGUGUCACGCAGUCGUUCAGCUUUAUCAUCGCAAGUCUUUUCUCGAGAUUCUCAUCUAUUCUCACUUUGCUACUGUUACAAAUUUUACUUUCAUUUUUCUUCACCAUCUUAUCAUUUUCAAUUGGAAGAAAUUUAUAAUAUUUUCUAUUACAAUUUGAAAAUAUUUAAUUCAAAGUGAAAAUAUUUCUCAGAUUCUUUCGUAUUUUCAUGUAUAUUAUUUAACAAUAUUUUGAAAUAGUUUUUAAUAUAAUCUCAUUUUGGCUUGUCCGUAAGUUGGGAGAAAAAAAAAAGUAACAAGCGCGGCACGACUCCUUGCAUAUAUCGCGCGUUUGGCGUGCAGAAGUAUCUGAUUUCUGUAAUAUGUAUACCGGAAGUCUGACACUUGGCUCAUAAAGGAACACAUUUGCCACGCCUAGAUAGAAAUAGAGUAGAAUGCGUGUAACGCGGUAGGAAAGGAUCGACGUUCGUCGUUCUUUUCUCCUCCUCUUUCUUCCCUUUUUUCUUUUUUUCUUUUUUUUUUUUUUUUUUUUUUUUACGGCGCUCCCAUGUUUGUCAGCAACGUACAUCCCCCGAUCGCCGUAUAGUUUUACCAGUGAAGCUAGCAGGACGAUAAAGUCAUCCGAGCUUUUCUCAUUAGCCUACGUAUCGUUACUGUUCACGAAAAUAUUCACUCUGCCGAUCGAUAACAGAGAACGAUUCAUCGUUUCCUAUCGAAAGGUACAUAAUAUUUUCGUUAGUUAAAUAAUAAUUAUUUUUCAAAGAUAAUCGAGAUAACUCGAGAAAUUGUUCAAAAUAUCAACUAUAGUUCUUAAAUAUACGUAUCUAUAAUGAUUAGAUAAAUUAUCGCUAUUUAUCGAUUUUUAUAUAUUUACUUUUGUUUGGAUCAACAUCAAAUAACUCUACGAAAAUAUUUGAUUAAUUAAUUGAUUGGAGUGUAAUGUAAUAUGUAUAACUUAAUGGAAAAAUAAUUCUAAAGGAAUUAUUAUUUUUUUAAUAAUUUAUGCGCUUAUUAAAUCAGUUUUCUUAUUUUUAUCAAACGCUACAUAUGUAAGUCUUAUAUUUUUCUUUCUCUUUCUCUCUCCGUCUAGAUCUUAAGUUUUACAUAAUCUUGCGUCAUUUCUUGCAGAUCAGGUUUAGGGUCGAACAAACAUACUUAUACAUCGUAUCAGAUCAUUUUUAAACGUUUUCCUGCGAAUACGAUUGGCGUCCUAAGUUCGUUUUUUUUUGUCAGCAAUAUCGACAUUGCUUGCACUCGAUGUUUACGCCAUUCGAGUCCGAUUCCUUUAUGAGCGAUUUCGGUAUCGCUUUGUAGAUUUAUUUGCUCUUCCAAGACUCCUAUCGAACUUGUGAUUCGAUUUCAACGAAAACAGCAUAGCAAAUAAUUUCAAAUAAUUUCAGACGAUGAGAAAAAAGAAUGAAAAAGUAAAUUUCAAUAUAUAAGAGGCACGGAAGAAUACUAUAAUAUUCGAGGAAGGGAAAGACGAUAAAACCGGAGCACAACUCGGUUGGCAACACGAGCAGCAAUUUAUUAUGAGAGAACGAUAUCGAGACGAGUCGUAUGUGUCUGUCACGAUAUCUCGGGUUAUCGGUUUCAAGGAGUCAACUUGUAAGGGAGAGGGAGCAGUAACUAUGAAAGAUCAAGUCGGUUCACGGGUCAUCAAGAGGACCGGUGGACUCUUGUCGAUUUACCCAACUUACUUAGCUUGAAUCUACCAGGGUUCGCUUUUAUUAUAAUGUAUAUAUUGAAGCUAAUCCUAGCAAUUUUCCAGGCUCUCUAGCUUAUCUUACCCAAUUUCAAGGUACAGAGAGAGAAAGAAAAGCAGAAAGAGAGAGAGAGAGAGAGAGAGAGAGAGAGAGAAAAUGAUCUUUUUUCUUAAUUUAAUCCAGCAAUAAGUCACGGCUAAUACGAUUCCAUAAGAAAGAAGAAAAAUCUACAACAUAAUCCUAAUUCGUAUGCGAAGAUAAUGAAAUAAUUACGAUUCGUUCAUGUAAAUUUACUUAUGUACCUAAAUACACGUAUACGGAUACUGCACGUGUUCCUCUUGAAUAUUUAUGUUAUGGCAAAAAUUCAUCGAUAUUCAUCUCCUAGCUCGUUCUCUUUUUUUAUUUCUCUCUCUCUCUCUCUCUAACUUUUUUCUUUCUAUUUUUCAUUCUUCCCUAUCUUUCGCGAUACGAGGAAAAAAGGUAAAGUAUUAUGUUGGGUUAGGCUAACUUGGGGCGUCGUAAAGUCGACGAUUUUUAGGGGACGAAUCCAUUCGAUACUCACGUUUUCUUCAACUUCGAUAUGGAAAUGAGAUCUCUUAUAGGGGAAUUCGCAGAUUCCAUUUGCAAAUGCAAAAUUUCAUCGAGGAUAUAUUUCAUCGUCAUUUUGAAUUUGCUUUUCGAUUUUAAAAAUACAAAUUGGAAUAAGUACGUUACACGUGAUAGAGAAUAUAAUAGAUUCGAUUAUCGCCAAUAAAAUAGUAUUUCAAAUUAGAUGAAAUACGUAUAUCAAGUUCUCUUAUCGGCUCGAGUAAUUAUAUUUUGGCUACAAGAAAAAAAUAACUUGGAAAAAAACAACUUGGUCAUUUGAAUCGGCUUCUUACAUAGUAAAUUUCCAGCGAUGACGUCCAUCGAUAUGAUUCAUUAUUAAAGUUAGGAGACCCUAUAAAAGUUUUCAAAUUUGUUGAAAUUUGGCAGAAACUUCAAAUUUCGGAUACGGCUUUAAUUCGAUAAUAAAUGUCUAGAAAAAUCUUUCAACAUGUAUAAAUUCUUGAGUUUUCGUUCAACUGUACUUAAUUGCACUAAACGUUCUUUUAAUUUCACAAGCUUAAAAGGAUACGAUUGGUAAUGAGUCUUUCAUUAGAGUUACCAUUUUAAAAUUAGAUUUUUCAUAACAUCAUGUUCUUUAUCGCCUAUUCUUUAGAUACAUUUUAUUCUUUUUUUACGAACGAUUAUAUAACAACUUCAGCGGAAUAUCAAUCGCUAUUACAACAGAAUCAUGAACGAUUAGAAUGUUCCGUUUGAAUUAAUUUAAGAUAUUUCUUAUCGCAUUUUAUCCUGAGGGUUCCAAUUCCAUUUCGUCUGGAAAAAAUUACAUAUAUUUGUCUAUCAUUCGCGACAAAGAAGAGUUGGAGAAGGAGAAGGACAACGAGGACGAUGAGGACGACCCGUGAACUCGACGUUCAACACGAAUCGUGCUUAGACACGCAUAUUGUUGCGAUUCUCGCCUCUGGACGAGGUCGCCGUAUCCGCUGACGUCACAACGACCCGACGACCCUACCGAACUUCGUGCUAUCAGUCGAUAUUAACAUAACGAUUUACAAGCUCACGUAUUCCUUUUCGGUUUCCGUUCAUUGUCAUAUUUCCGUCAAUGAAAUACAAUUUAACGAUGAAAAUUGAUUAAAAAUCUCUUUAUAUUUCUAUUAGAUGUUCAAACUUAUCCUGAAACCAUAACCAGAUCGAGAAACACA